rnacentral:rRNA from 1 species
UACCAGCACCCCGAGUGGUCGGGACGUUUUAUUGGGCCUAAAGCAUCCGUAGCCGGUUCUGCAAGUCUUCCGUUAAAUCCACCUGCUUAACAGAUGGGCCGCGGAAGAUACUAUAGAGCUAGGAGGCGGGAGAGGCAAGCGGUACUCGAUGGGUAGGGGUAAAAUCCGUUGAUCCAUUGAAGACCACCAGUGGCGAAGGCGGCUGCCAGAACGCGCUCGACGGUG